GAAAGUGCAGCUGUAGAGGAGCAGGAAACUGCUGGGUGGGAAUCUGCAGUGAUGACUUUGUUGGAGACAGAUUGAUGGUUCAGGAAUGCACAGCAAAUAAUUUCAAUGGAUAGCAGUCUAUGAUGGAGGUGUGAAGAGAGUCAAGAAAAAGGAAGGUUUAAAAAAUGUAGGAUAUGCUGUGAUGCAGAUGCAUUUUCAUGAUGAUGUAUCUCUACAGUUGUGAAACACUUGGGGAGGACUUGGGAGUAUUGCCUGGUUCUCUCACCAACAUUGGUGGAUCCAAAGUUGUUUCCAUCAUUUCAACAGCAGACUGAUUGUUUAAUUGUUGAGAAGUCUCCAAAUGGAUCAUCCUGACAGGAUGCUUCAGCUGCUAAAGAUGGAUUUUUAAGUCUACGGUCAGGAUCAGUAACAGACACUAUACCAAAAGAUAUCAAAACAGCCCUGAAUUCACUGACUGAACUCCCAGUGCUGCAAGGCUGUUUGUACAGGGAGACAUUUGCGCCAGCAGUAAGAUUAUUGCAAGAUCGUGUCCUUAGACAAGAAGUAAUAUGUAAAAGAAAAUAAAGUAACCAGUGAAAUAUAAAAGGUCUUACCAUACAUUUGUUUCUAUUGUUAAUGUAGAUAUAUUAAGAUGUUCAUGGAAUAUAAAGGGCUACAUUUUUGGCUUCGGCACUGCAAGCUGUUUUAUGUAUGAGCUGUAUGUAAUUAUAUUGAAAACAAACUUUGCUUCAAGAACGUUUUUGGCUCCACUGUGCAAUAACACAAAGGGCCUUUGUUAUGCUCUCAGCAGAGUUAUUUAUGGAUUGCAGAGGACUUACUAAAGGACAGUUUCAUCUGAUUGUAUUCAUCCACUGACUCACAUUUAAAUGUAGUGACUUAUAUUCAUACAAAUUGUAAUUACAAGUAUGAUCAAGCAGACAAAGAUUUCUGAAACUAGAAAUGGGACUGCUGUGCAGAUUCAGACCUGGAACAACAGUACAGAGUGGCGUUUCAGAUCCAGAGCUUUACAGAGUGGGGUUUCAGAUCCAGAGCUUUAAAUGAGCCAGAAUGGAAAAUGCAACAAAAGGCUUUGCAUAAUUCACAUCAAUUAUAAUCAUCUUCAGUUGAAUUGAAAAUGAGGCUCUUGGUCUCUUAAAUGACAAAAAAUGUCAUGGAGAGCAGAGGGAGCUAACUCAGUGUUGGGAAGAAUGGAAUGCCAGGGCAAAGUGGGUUUGUGAGGAUCUGCCAGAAGCUCCAACAGGACCUUACAAAGCUGGCUGAGGGGCCCGUGCUUUCCUCUGACUCACCUAAAACAGCCACUACAUUAAAUGAUCACUUUCAGAAUCCUGCUUUCUGCCAGAUU